rnacentral:rRNA from 1 species
GACGAACGCUGGCGGCGUGCCUAAUACAUGCAAGUAGGACGCAGUUGCGAACGGGUGAGUAACGCGUAGGUAACUACCUAUUAGAGGGGGAUAACUAUUGGAAACGAUAGCUAAUACCGCCUACUCGUAGAUGGACCUUCGUUGUAUUAGCUAGUAGGUAGGGUAAUGGCCUACCUAGGCAACGCUACAUAGCCGACCCGAGAGGGUGAUCGGCCAAACUGGGAAUGAGAAACGGCCCAGACUCCUACGGGAGGCAGCAGUAGGGAAUCGUUGGCAAUGGGGGGAAACCUGAACGCGCAACGCCGCGUUAGUGAAGAAGGUUUUCGGAGUGUAAAGCUCUGUUGUUAAGGAAGCGGUACUUAACCAGAAAGGGACGGCUAACUACGUGCCAGCAGCCGCGGUAAUUC